AAAUUAAACAAGCAUGAAGUGCUACGCUAAUUAAGUUUUAUUUAUUAUAAAUAGAUUAAGUUAAAAGUCGAACGGGUGAUUACACCUGCAGCGGUGCAGCUAUGGAUUCCUACCGAUCUAAAGGGUAAUCGCCUUGCCCACUAUGCUUAAUGCUGGUAUAGACUUGUCGCCGACAUGCUUCACGACGGAACAGUAAUUAAACUUAGUCUGACCUUGUUUUCGGAGCUAUUUAACUGGUGCAAAUACGGCAGUGCAAAAAGGUGGUCCAAGCCGGGGUUUCUCCACGCGACGCUACCAGAUGGGCUCGUUAGGUGGAAAAUAAGAGAAAAUAGGGAAGCAGCCUAUGGAUUAAUGGGUCUUAAUAAAAAAGUGAUCGGAGAUUGUACUCACCAGUGGUAUAAAGUUUAUUUUAAAACAAAUACUCAGCUCAAAAACUGACCACCAGCCUCGCCCUAUUUCAAAAUGUCUCUAUCUUGACCCCUUGGUCAAGAAUGUUAGAUAAAAGAUAAAUUUUAAAAUUGCAUUCAUAUUCAUAUGCUGACCUCUAUUAAAUUACUUUUGCAGUAUUUAUAAAACCUGUAACUGCUUAUAGAAAACGUUACACAUGUCCCUCUUGUACAUCACCAAAAAUUUCAUUCUCACAACCUGUAUCUGGUGGCCUAUAAAAGUGGAUACAAACCGCGUGAAUAUGUUUACAAAUAUUAAAGUUUAUAACAUUGUCCAAACAACUAAAUCUAAACGAGUAUUUACAUUCACCGCUAUUGUGUUCUAAAACAUAGUCAUGACUGGAAUGGAUUCUUGUGAAGGCACCACUAACCAUUUAUCAUCACACUGUUUUAACAAUUCCAAAGGAAUGCAACUUCCACGAUUAUGGCCGUCUCUAAUUCGCUUUAUUUUAUUAGUCACUUUAUACUUUGAAAAUUUAAUAAUCCGCUCAAACAU